rnacentral:rRNA from 1 species
UACGUAGGGCGCAAGCGUUGUCCGGAAUUAUUGGGCGUAAAGAGUUCGUAGGCGGCUUGUCACGUCGGGUGUGAAAGCCCGGGGCUUAACCCCGGGUCUGCAUUCGAUACGGGCUAGCUAGAGUGUGGUAGGGGAGAUCGGAAUUCCUGGUGUAGCGGUGAAAUGCGCAGAUAUCGGGAGGAACACCGAUGGCGAAGGCAGGUCUCUGGGCAUUAACUGACGCUGAGGAGCGAAAGCAUGGGGAGCGAACAGG